CUGAAAAGGAAGUCAUUCCAGUCCACAGCAGGGCUAACAGUUCACAGUAUUUGUGUGCCCACCCUCCUUUUCUGCUGCACUGGACAACCUGGAAAGAGAAGCAAACCUCCAUUCAUCUUUUUAAAGAAUCCUGGUCUAACUGAUACAAAGGUACAAAAUGAAUCCAUGCUUGGUGGGGACAUAUAACUGUACUCUAAGAGAUAGUGAAACAGCCGGGCGUGGUGGUGCACGCCUUUAAUCCCAGCACUUGGAAGGCAGAGAAAGUUCUUAAAAAGUGAGAGGGUUGGUAAGAAGGCUUAAAGAGAAAGGCAUUUGCCCCCGGUCUGGCAUCUGGCAGGUAACCUGGAUUCCAUCUCGCUGGCCCACAACCAGCUCCUCCAAGUUGUCCUGGGAUCUUCAAUCACACAACUGUGAAAUUUACCAACACACACACACACAUUCAUGUAUUCUCUCUCUCUCUCUCAAAAUGUAAUUUAUUUUGUAUUUUAUGUAUGCUGGUGUCUUGCCUGCAUGUGUAAGGGAGUCAGAUCCCUGGAACAGGAGUUACAGACAGUUGCGAGCUGUCUUGUAGGUGCUUGGAGCUUAACCCCAGUCCACUGGAAGAGUGGCCAGUGCUCUUAACCACUAAACCAUUUCUCCAGGCCCUGCAAAUGUAAUUUUAAAGAAAAAAAAAAGGUGUUUAAAG
ensembl:antisense Gm16552 predicted gene 16552